rnacentral:sRNA from 1 species
UUAUUUAAUGUUAUCGUCUAAGUUAUGUUCCUAGUUCUUCUAAUGCCGUUAUGUUUCUAUUUCGUUUUAUCCUCUAUGCGUGAAGUUGUUCAAGUUCUUGUAAUGCUUCUAUAAAGUUAUGUUUCAAUUUGUGCUUAACCUCUGGUUUACAAGGUUUAUCGGUUUAAGGGUUUAUUCGGAUGUAAGCAAUAAAUUUGAAGUUUCGUAAUCCAUACUUCUUUCUGUACUUACAUUAUAACUUUAAAGUUACUAUAAAUGUAGGAAUAAACCUGAUUGGAUUGACGCAAAAAGACAGUUUUGUGAUAGACGUGGCCAGGCAUA